UAGGGAAUAUUGGACAAUGGGGGGAACCCUGAUCCAGCCAUGCCGCGUGGAGGAAGACUGCCCUCUGGGUUGUAAACUCCUUUUAUAUGGGAAGAACCGUCCUCAUUGAUGAGUGACCUGACGGUACCAUAGGAAUAAGCACCGGCUAACUCCGUGCCAGCAGCCGCGGUAAUACGGAGGGUGCAAGCGUUAUCCGGAUUCACUGGGUUGAAAGGGUGCGUAGGCGGAUAUGUAAGUCAGUGGUGAAAUCAACGGGCUCAACCUGUUAACUGCCAUUGAUACUGUGUAUCUUGAAUAUGAGAGAGGUAGGCGGAAUGUUGCAUGUAGCGGUGAAAUGCUUAGAUAUGCUACGGAACACCGAUUGCGAAGGCAGCUUACUAUUUCGUAAUUGACGCUGAGGCACGAAAGCGUGGGUAGCGAACA
rnacentral:rRNA from 1 species